AUGGAGCGUUCUACUUCUCCUUUUUCCAUGGUACGCAGUGUUGCGAUCCUUGCUCUCAUAUGCUGUUCCUUGUCAUGCCCGGCAGCGGCCCGAGUUGCUCUUGACGGUGGCCGAGAACAAGGGAUACCUCCGCCGCCGGUGGCCGGGAACCCGGUGGAAGUUCCAAGUCCUGGAUUCCUUCCUCCGCCACCGCCGCCUGGGAGCCCUGUGAACACGCCGUGUCCUUCAACCCCUAAUCAUGCGACGCCAUUGCGACCCGCGUACGGGAACCCGGUGGCUCCAAGUCCUUCAGUGCCUAUUCCGCCGCCGCCCAUUCUCGUGGGCAGGAACCAGCUGGCGACUCCAAUUCCUUCAGUCCCUAGUCCUCCGCUGCCGCCAGUGCAGGUGCCGGUGAGCACACCGUGUUAUUCAAUACCUAUUCACGUGCCGCCAGUGCCGGAGAUGUCGGCACCGACACCACACCGCAAGACACUGCAACAUGUUGUUAAGAACAUCCGUUAA
rnacentral:rRNA from 1 species